rnacentral:lncRNA from 1 species
AUUGAUUGUCUCUAUAGUAGAGAUAAUAUGGUAGUGUUAACUGUUUAGAAUAUAAUGAUGCUUAAAACCCAAAAGGUUGCAAGGUAGUGACUAAUCCCAACUAAGUUGUGAUUCCUCUAAAAACAUAAGUUAUGAGUUGGUGAAAGAUGGAUACUUUGGAUCGUUAGAUCCGGAUCCAAUACCUUCUUGUUAAAAUUGUAUAGAGGCGAAAUGUUCGAAUCUUUAUUCUUUUGGAAAGAAGAAAGAAUCACAAAGUUGUUGAGGUUAAUUCACUUAGAUGUUAGUGGCACUUGUCCACAAACAUAAUACUACUCAUGUUGUAUGACAUUCACCGAAGAUCACUCUCGGUUGGACUAUAGUUUAUUUUGAAUAAACACAAGUCCGAAUACUUUGCAAAAUGUUUCAAAGAAUUCAAGUAAUGUAAGUUGAUGAGUAAGACGUCUAAAGUAUUUACCUCCUUAGAUUUGAUCCAAGAAAGGUAACACUUUAGAAACAGUUUCCUUGAAAGAUAUCAAGGAAAUAAGCAUCAUAAGAUAAUAGAUUUCUCCAUAAGGAGAAGAACGAACUUAAAUAAGAUUUAGUUCGUUGGAUAUUAUCAAUUACCCAUAUAUAGGAUAUAUACUUCUAAAACAAUAUGAUUGUCAAUUAGAAGAUCUUCCAAAAUUUU